rnacentral:lncRNA from 12 species
GGGAGAGAGCUGGGCUGCUGCCACCCAUGCUGCUGGAUCUGUGAGAGCUGUGUCCCAUGCAGCACAGCAGUCUGACUGUGGCCAAAAAGAGGAUGCCUAUGGAAGGAAUACAUGCAACAAAG